UGGGGAAUAUUGCACAAUGGGGGAAACCCUGAUGCAGCGACGCCGCGUGAGUGAAGAAGUAUUUCGGUAUGUAAAGCUCUAUCAGCAGGGAAGAAAUAGCGACCUUUGGGUCGCCAGACGGUACCUGAUUAAGAAGCCCCGGCUAACUACGUGCCAGCAGCCGCGGUAAUACGUAGGGGGCAAGCGUUAUCCGGAUUUACUGGGUGUAAAGGGAGCGUAGACGGCAGCACAAGUCUGAAGUGAAAUGCCGGGGCUUAACCCCGGAACUGCUUUGGAAACUGUGCAGCUAGAGUGCAGGAGAGGUAAGUGGAAUUCCUAGUGUAGCGGUGAAAUGCGUAGAUAUUAGGAGGAACACCAGUGGCGAAGGCGGCUUGCUGGACUGUAACUGACGUUGAGGCUCGAAAGCGUGGGGAGCAAACAGG
rnacentral:rRNA from 1 species